GACGAGCGCUGGCGGCGUGCCUAAUACAUGCAAGUCGAGCGAAUCGAUGGGAGCUUGCUCCCUGAGAUUAGCGGCGGACGGGUGAGUAACACGUGGGUAACCUGCCUGUAAGACUGGGAUAACUUCGGGAAACCGGAGCUAAUACCGGAUACUUUCUUUUCUCGCAUGAGGGAAGAUGGAAAGAUGGUUCUGCUAUCACUUACAGAUGGACCCGCGGCGCAUUAGCUAGUUGGUGAGGUAACGGCUCACCAAGGCGACGAUGCGUGGCCGACCUGAGAGGGUGAUCGGCCACACUGGGACUGAGCCACGGCCCAGACUCCUACGGGAGGCAGCAGUAGGGAAUCUUCCGCAAUGGACGAAAGUCUGACGGAGCAACGCCGCGUGAGCGAAGAAGGCCUUCAGGUCGUAAAGCUCUGUUGUUAGGGAAGAACAAGUACGAGAGUAACUACCGGUACCGUGACGGUACCUCACCAGAAAGCCACGGCUAACUACGUGCCAGCCGCCGCCGUAAGAC
rnacentral:rRNA from 1 species